rnacentral:rRNA from 1 species
GUGGGGAAUUUUGCGCAAUGGGCGAAAGCCUGACGCAGCAACGCCGCGUGGAGGAUGAAGGUCUUCGGAUCGUAAACUCCUGUCAGUAGGGACGAAUGCCUCGCAAGAGGUUUGACUGUACCUGCUGAGGAAGCCACGGCUAACUCCGUGCCAGCAGCCGCGGUAAUACGGAGGUGGCAAGCGUUGUUCGGAAUUACUGGGCGUAAAGGGCGCGUAGGCGGCAUUGCAAGUCAGAUGUGAAAGCCCCGGGCUUAACUCGGGAAUUGCAUCUGAAACUGCUUUGCUUGAGUCCUGGAGGGGAUAGUGGAAUUCCCAGUGUAGCGGUGAAAUGCGUAGAUAUUGGGAGGAACACCUGCGGCGAAGGCGGCUAUCUGGACAGUGACUGACGCUGAGGCGCGAAAGCUAGGGGAGCGAACGGGAUUAGAAACCCUGGUAGUCC